CCAAGUAUAAAAGAAGAGACAUUUAUUAUCUUUUCCCUCAUUAAUGAUAGUUGGUCGGUGGGAGAGUAAAGAAGAGAGAGAAAGAAAGAAGAAGAAGAAGAAAAGAAGAAGGAGAAGAAGAAGAAGAAGAAAGAAGAAAGGAAAUUGAUCGUAAAGCUUCACCGGAGCUGGGUCUCAAUAUUUUGAGCCCGGAUUAAUGAUCAUCUCAUUGGGAUUUUUGAUUUGAGGAUUUGGAAGGAGUGCUGGUGAAGAUCAAGAGUCUUUGAAGUUCUUGGGUUAAAGAAGUGAAAUUUGGGGUUUCAUUGGUGUUCUUGAGAAAGAGGUUACACUCAUUAUACGCGUACCCACACAUCGGAUCUCUUGCGUGCCAGGUACAAGCACCG